rnacentral:ncRNA from 1 species
UUAUUGGAGAGUUUGAUCCUGGCUCAGGACGAACGCUGGCGGCGUGCCUAAUACAUGCAAGUCGAGCGGACUUGAGGGAGCUUGCUCCCGAUGGUCAGCGGCGGACGGGUGAGUAACACGUGGGCAACCUGCCUGUAAGACUGGGAUAACUCCGGGAAACCGGGGCUAAUACCGGAUAAUGCAUUCCCUCACAUGAGGGAAUGCUGAAAGACGGCUUUUGCUGUCACUUACAGAUGGGCCCGCGGCGCAUUAGCUAGUUGGUGAGGUAACGGCUCACCAAGGCCACGAUGCGUAGCCGACCUGAGAGGGUGAUCGGCCACACUGGGACUGAGACACGGCCCAGACUCCUACGGGAGGCAGCAGUAGGGAAUCUUCCGCAAUGGACGAAAGUCUGACGGAGCAACGCCGCGUGAGCGAAGAAGGCCUUCGGGUCGUAAAGCUCUGUUGUCAGGGAAGAACAAGUACCGGAGUAACUGCCGGUACCUUGACGGUACCUGACCAGAAAGCCACGGCUAACUACGUGCCAGCAGCCGCGGUAAUACGUAGGUGGCAAGCGUUGUCCGGAAUUAUUGGGCGUAAAGCGCGCGCAGGCGG